GCCGGGCGUAGUGGCGCACUCCUGUAAUCCCAGCAGCUCAGGAGGCUGAGGCAGGAGGACCACAAGUUCAAAGUCAGCCUCAGCAAUUUAGUGAGACCCUGUUUCUA
rnacentral:sRNA from 1 species